rnacentral:rRNA from 1 species
GGACCCGCACAAGCAGCGGAGCAUGUUGUUUAAUUCGAAGCAACGCGAAAACCUUACCAAGGCUUGACAUCAGAUGCAUAGCAUAGAGAUAUGUGAAAUUUAUAGCAAUAUAAACAUCUAGACAGAUGGUGCAUGGUUGUCGUCAGCUCGUGUCGUGAGAUGUUGGGUUAAGUCCCGCAACGAGCGCAACCCUUAUGAUUAGUUGCCAAUAUUAAGUUAGGAACUCUAGUCAGACUGCCGUAGAUAAUACGGAGGAAGGUGGGGAUGACGUCAAAUCAUCAUGCCUCUUACGCCUUGGGCUACAAACGUGCUACAAUGGCAGGUACAAAGAGAUGCAAAGCAGUAAUGUGGAGCCAACCUCAAAAAGCCUGCCCCAGUUCAGACUGUGGGCUGCAACUCGCCCACACGAAGUCGGAGUUGCUAGUAAUCCCAAAUCAGCAUGUUG